GUGAGGCACUGGAACAGGUUGCUGAGGAACUGGUGGCGUCACAGUCCCUGGGAGUGUUCACGGAAAGGUUGGACCUGGCGCUUAGGGACAUGGUUUUGUGGGUAACAUUGGUAGUAGGGUGUUGGUUGGACCAGAUGAUCUUGGAGGUCUUUUCCAACCUUUAUAAUUCUAUGA